GUGAGACACAUUUCAUCAAAAUUUGGCCAAAUUGGAAAGAUGGUAUAAAGGAAGAGUUAAAAGGAGAUAUAACUGAUAUUUAUAAAUAUUACCAAGAAACAACAGAUGUCGUCACUGGCCAGCUUUACACUUGGUUAUCGAAUUCCAAGAGCGUGGUUGAUCAAGUCUAUGCUUGGGAUCGAUGGAUUAAAAUUUGGAGUCGGUUCACGGUGGAAAGUUUUCUUGAAAGUAAUAUUAAUGCGAUUAAAGCUAAAGUGUCUGUUGAAGACCAGAAAGACUUAGAUUUAGUCAAACUUGAAAACCUUUUGCCAUGGUCUAACGAUGCCGUUCGUGGUUUUUCUGUAUUUUGCUAUGUGCCCGAAAUUGAACAGUCCCUUGACCACUUUCUUUCUUUUAAACAGGGAAAGUGGUCAUCUGGUAAGAUGCAUUCCUUGAAAGGUGGUAUGCAUAACUUGCCCAAAGCGUUUUUACGGGUAUCAAGAAAAAUAUCCACUGAAAGAUGUCGUAGAGGUGUCAUGUUUUUCUGUCAAUAAUGCAACAUUUUGUAUAAGGCAAAGGCAGUAAUUAUUACCACGCCGAUAAACAUUUUGCGUCAAAUAAGGUUCAAAUCACAGCUUGAUGAUAUCAAAUCCCAGUUGGCAAUAAUAAAAAGCGUCCAGGCAAUGGGAAAUGUUUUUAAUCAGCAUUCAACAAAAAUCUUUCUUCAAACCAAAGAAAGAUUCUGGGAAAAUGAAGGAAUUAAAGGUGGUUUUUCAAAGACAAACCUUCCCGUAGGCCAGAUUCAUUACGUCACCCCGGAGGACUGCAAAACGAAAGAGGGGCUUUUAAUGAUUUACACGUGGACGAAGGAGGCUCUGCUUUUUGGGUCGAUGAAAGAAAAAGUGGUGAAACGGAAAGUAGUUGAACAACUCGAAGAAAUUCAUCCAGCCUUCAAAGAAGAUAUGGUGACAACCUUUAUUGUUCAUGCUUGGAAUAAUCUGCCAUCUUAUCAAGGAGCGUAUGGAGAAGUGAAAACAUCUCAUUACGAAAGUACAAGGCAUUUAUGGGAGCCCAUGGGUAACGUUCAUUUCGCUGGUGAAAGAAUUUCUUUUACCCGUAUGUGGAUACAAGGUGCUUUAGAAAGUGGUUUAAAAGCUGCAUUUCAAGUUUAUGAACGACAUAUGGAAAGAACCUGGAACCAUAUAUUGUGAGGUUUUUCUGUAAUUGAGAUUAAAGUUUGUGUCCACUAUUUAUGAAAACCUUUAUAGUCUAACUUUUAGUUUCAUGUACUUGGCCACUGACGUACUGAUUUAUAACAUUUUCAACACACUUUUCUUUUUCUGUGUUCGCAUUUCAAGUAAUUUGUCUUUUCAAAAUUAAAUCAUUUUUUAAAAGAUUUUA